rnacentral:rRNA from 1 species
CAUGCAGUCGAGCGGUAGAGAGAAGCUUGCUUCUCUUGAGAGCGGCGGACGGGUGAGUAAUACCUAGGAAUCUGCCUGAUAGUGGGGGAUAACGUUCGGAAACGGACGCUAAUACCGCAUACGUCCUACGGGAGAAAGCAGGGGACCUUCGGGCCUUGCGCUAUCAGAUGAGCCUAGGUCGGAUUAGCUAGUUGGUGAGGUAAUGGCUCACCAAGGCUACGAUCCGUAACUGGUCUGAGAGGAUGAUCAGUCACACUGGAACUGAGACACGGUCCAGACUCCUACGGGAGGCAGCAGUGGGGAAUAUUGGACAAUGGGCGAAAGCCUGAUCCAGCCAUGCCGCGUGUGUGAAGAAGGUCUUCGGAUUGUAAAGCACUUUAAGUUGGGAGGAAGGGCAGUUACCUAAUACGUGAYUGUCUUGACGUUACCGACAGAAUAAGCACCGGCUAACUCUGUGCCAGCAGCCGCGGUAAUACAGAGGGUGCAAGCGUUAAUCGGAAUUACUGGGCGUAAAGCGCGCGUAGGUGGUUUGUUAAGUUGAAUGUGAAAUCCCCGGGCUCAACCUGGGAACUGCAUCCAAAACUGGCAAGCUAGAGUAUGGUAGAGGGUAGUGGAAUUUCCUGUGUAGCGGUGAAAUGCGUAGAUAUAGGAAGGAACACCAGUGGCGAAGGCGACUACCUGGACUGAUACUGACACUGAGGUGCGAAAGCGUGGGGAGCAAACAGGAUUAGAUACCCUGGUAGUCCACGCCGUAAACGAUGUCAACUAGCCGUUGGGAGUCUUGAACUCUUAGUGGCGCAGCUAACGCAUUAAGUUGACCGCCUGGGGAGUACGGCCGCAAGGUUAAACUCAGAGA